rnacentral:tRNA from 1 species
CGCGGGGUUGAGUAACGGUAGCUCGUCGGGCUCAUAACCCGAAGGCCCUCGUUCGAAUCGAGGCUCCGCAA